rnacentral:rRNA from 1 species
UACAGAGGUCUCAAGCGUUGUUCGGAAUCACUGGGCGUAAAGCGCACGUAGGCGGAUUUGCCAGUCAGGGGUGAAAUCCCGGGGCUCAACCUCGGAACUGCCUUUGAUACAGCAAGUCUUGAGUUCGAGAGAGGUGGGUGGAAUUCCUAGUGUAGAGGUGAAAUUCGUAGAUAUUGGGAAGAACACCGGUGGCGAAGGCGGCGCUCUGGACCGAGACUGACGCUGAGGCGCGAAAGCGUGGGGAGCAAACAGG